CAGUAGCGCGGUAAUACGAAGGGGGCUAGCGUUGCUCGGAAUUACUGGGCGUAAAGGGAGCGUAGGCGGACAUUUAAGUCAGGGGUGAAAUCCCGGGGCUCAACCUCGGAAUUGCCUUUGAUACUGGGUGUCUUGAGUAUGAGAGAGGUAUGUGGAACUCCGAGUGUAGAGGUGAAAUUCGUAGAUAUUCGGAAGAACACCAGUGGCGAAGGCGACAUACUGGCUCAUUACUGACGCUGAGGCUCGAAAGCGUGGGGAGCAAACAGGAUUAGAUACCCCCGUAGUCCCUGUCUCUUAUACA
rnacentral:rRNA from 1 species